rnacentral:rRNA from 1 species
AUUGAACGCUGGCGGCAUGCCUUACACAUGCAAGUCGAACGGCAGCACGGGAGCAAUCCUGGUGGCGAGUGGCGAACGGGUGAGUAAUAUAUCGGAACGUGCCCAGUCGUGGGGGAUAACGUAGCGAAAGCUACGCUAAUACCGCAUACGAUCUAUGGAUGAAAGCGGGGGAUCGCAAGACCUCGCGCGAUUGGAGCGGCCGAUAUCAGAUUAGGUAGUUGGUGAGGUAAAGGCUCGCCAAGCCGACGAUCUGUAGCUGGUCUGAGAGGACGACCAGCCACACUGGGACUGAGACACGGCCCAGACUCCUACGGGAGGCAGCAGUGGGGAAUUUUUGGGACAAUGGGCGCAAGCCUGAUCCAGCAAAUGCCGCGUGCAGGAUGAAGGCCUCGGUUGUAACU